AUUGAACGCUGGCGGCAUGCCUUACACAUGCAAGUCGAACGGCAGCAUGAUCUAGCUUGCUAGAUUGAUGGCGAGUGGCGAACGGGUGAGUAAUACAUCGGAACGUGCCCUGUAGUGGGGGAUAACUAGUCGAAAGAUUAGCUAAUACCGCAUACGACCUGAGGGUGAAAGUGGGGGACCGCAAGGCCUCAUGCUAUAGGAGCGGCCGAUGUCUGAUUAGCUAGUUGGUGAGGUAAAGGCUCACCAAGGCGACGAUCAGUAGCUGGUCUGAGAGGACGAUCAGCCACACUGGGACUGAGACACGACCCAGACUCCUACGGGAGGCAGCAGUGGGGAAUUUUGGACAAUGGGUGAAAGCCUGAUCCAGCAAUGCCGCGUGUGUGAAGAAGGCCUUCGGGUUGUAAAGCACUUUUGUCCGGAAAGAAAUGGCUCUGGUUAAUACCUGGGGUCGAUGACGGUACCGGAAGAAUAAGGACCGGCUAACUACGUG
rnacentral:rRNA from 1 species